AAUUUGGGGUGAAUACUAUUUUAUAUUCAAUCUCCUAAUAAACUAAAUUAAUUGUGCGGGUUUUUGUUAAAAAAAAAAAAAAAAAAAAAAAAACUCUAAAGGCUCUCGUUUGUGGGAUCGAUGCGCUUUUCGAUCCGGAAGACGGAUAAAAACCAUGGUCCGGUUUAUAGAUUUCGAAAAGGAACGUUCCAGAUUUGUAUUAAUUAAUUUGAUAAUUUUUAGAUGGAUUUUUUUCGAAGUAUUUUAAUGGUUGGGAGACUCGUACUAAAACUUGGCGUCCAUCGUCUUCCGUUGCGACAUAAUGUACAAAAAUUGCACUCUGAACAUUCAUCUAAAGCUGUUAUGUGCCAUUAAAGGGUCAUAAAACCGUAGGUGUCUUAUAGAAAUUCCUUGCUCACUCCUGCCAAAAUGUUCACUCUAUAGAAAUAUAUGGUUUCUUGGUAGCGAUUAAUACUUUAUCCCGGUCCACCAUUACCAAAGUUGCUCGGACUUCUCCAUAUGAUGGGAAAGGUACCCUCCCCCUCUUAUUACACCUUAUUACCUGAACAUUAUUUGUCAUUACGUCUUAUAUCGCUAGUCCUUCCAGCCAAUCGACCGAACACUCGGUAAAAAGUUUCAGUCCGCAUUAAGAAAUCGCGACUGCUUAAUUCGACUUUGGCCUCUCUCCUCCAUCUGGAUUAGUCGAUUGAGUCCCAGUCUUUCCGGGUGUCCGACCACAGCUUCCGAAAUCGUCGACCACUACGGGUCACCGUCUACUCACCGACUAUCAUCUCCUCCAUAACCAAAGUCGUUGCUGAUGAAAUUUAUCGCUGUAUAAAAUCCGUAUAAAGAAUUUUUACACCAUAGGACUUCAGCCAUCAUUCAGACGGAACGACACGGAUGUUAGAGGUCAAAAAAUACGAAAAUGCACCCUUUCGGACGUCGAUGGUGGUUGGACAAAAAAAAAAGGAACGAGAUAGGUCGGCCACGGAGACACACCACUCUUGAUUUUAUUAGUGUAUAACUUGUUGAUCUCGUUUCAAGAAUAGGAUCAACAAGUCGCGAAAUAGCUCCGAGUUAAAUAUACUCCCCAGGAAACCAUCUUAGCUGACAAAUUACGACGGUUCCGGGAAAGCAUCGCUCGUUAAUUAAUUGUCGGAAUUUAAGAGCGGAUCUAAACAAUUUUUCCGAAGUAACAGCGCAAAUAGUUUCCAAUUUUUUAAUGAUUAAAACUUGCCAACAAAUUUACCUGGGGCUAUAAAAUUGGAGAAUUAAAAUGGGUAUCAAAAUAGACGAUGGAGUGAUGACACUGGCGAAAAAUAAAAUAAGGUGAAGAAUGUAAUCGUAAUAAGUUUUUCGGCUGUCAAAAAGUGAUAAAGUUAUGAUAAAAUUUAUUAGAGAUGCUUUCGCUCGGUAAACAAGCGGCUGUAGAAUUUUCAGGAAUGUAGAUGGAGUAAGAAAUUAACAGGAAAAGGAUUCUGGCGCCAUUUUCCACUCUAGUUGGAAAAAAGAAGGCAGAGCGUGACCAGACGCGUCAUCACUGUAGCUAGUUAAGAUCCAGAUGAAAUCUGAGCGAGAACCAAUGGGUCGCUGGUAUGUGUAAAAGGUAAAAAUUGGUGUUUCCUAUCGGCCAUUGGAUAUUUUUUUUUUAGCCUAGGCGCUCGUCCGUCUCCUUAUCUGGCCGAGAUUUGGCACGAAGAUAAAUUAAGAACUCUGACAAAUCCCGGUGCCCGCUACCCGGUGCUUGAUCCUACCUUUUUCUCUUUUUCUUCUUCGGCGCGGAGGGGAAAUUACAAACGGGCCGGAAACCCAGAUGCUUUUAUCCCCGCAGGAAAUUGGUGGGAGUCCGGUGUCCAUGGUGACGGGAUACCGCUGCAAAUUAGGAGUCUUAACAAACAUUUUUUUCUCUCCUUUCUUCUUCGAGUCCUUCGCCUACCUUCCCACUUACCUGCUCCUACCACCGCUCUCCAAUGCCUCACGUCAAACAUACUUAUAUCACUUUAUAUCUCACACAUCCCUCUGAAACUUUUUAUUUUCACCAUCCAUCCGAUCGAUUCAUUCUUUAAAUCUAUUAAUUUCCAAUUAGAGAUGUAAAAAUUUUAUCUGUAUAAAGUUUGGAGUGAUUAAACCCAACCAAACAUUUCC
rnacentral:lncRNA from 1 species